CCGGGGCCGGGGAUGGUGGCGGGGGCGGCCGGAGCGGGGCGGCGGCUCCGGGCAGAGCCCUGACGGAGCGAGCUCCACCAUGAGCGUGAGGCCUCCGCAGGCCCCGGACAGGUUGAGCAGCCUCUCCUCGUCCCUGGGCGAUUCCCCCUCGGAGCGAAGGUCCCCCGGCCACCACCGGCAGCCCUCGGACCCCUCCGAGACCACAGGGCUGGUGCAGCGCUGCGUCAUCAUCCAGCGGGACCAGCAUGGCUUCGGCUUCACCGUCAGCGGCGACCGCGUGGUGCUGGUGCAGUCCGUGCGCCCCGGUGGGGCUGCCAUGAGGGCCGGCGUGCAGGAGGGCGACCGCAUCCUCAAGGUGAACGGGACAAUGGUGACCAACAGCUCCCACCUGGAGGUGGUGAAGUUGAUCAAGUCUGGUGCCUACGUGGCCCUGACCCUGCUGGGGUCCCCGCCCGGCCCGGUGGGAAUUCCGGGAUCCCAGCAGGAGCCGGAGACCCCGGGCUGCCCCCAGGGCCCCCCCCAGCGCAUCACGGAGCCCCGGCCCCUGCAGGACCCCGAGGUGCAGAAGCACGCGGCGCAGAUCCUGCGGAACAUGCUGCGCCAGGAGGAGGCCGAGUUCCAGCGUUUCCAGGAGCUGCUGCAGCGGAAGCCGGGCGCGGGGCUGGAGGAGCAGCUGGAGGGGGCGCGGCGCCGGCUGAGCCAGCUGCAGCUCAAGGUGCUGCAGGAGGCGCGCGGGAAUGCCGCGGACCUGGGCUCCCGGCCCCUGGAGGGGUCCCCGCAGCUCCCGGGGCGCCGCCCCCGCGACCCCCAGGACGGGGACCCAGGGCUGGAGCCCGGCCCCGAGCGCGCCCCGGCCCCGGCGGAGGUCUCCCGGAAUUCCGGCUUUUCCGAGCCCUGCAGCCCCCGGAGCUCCCCCGUGCUCGGCUCCCGCCUCUCCACGGAUCCGGGAUCGGGGAGGCCCCAGAUCAUCGGGCCCGAGGAGGAUUGCGAGCCUGGGAGUGGCAGCAACGAGAGCGAUUCCGUCUUCCAGGAUUUGGGAAUUCUCAAAUCCCGCCCGGCCCACUUGGGAGUGUUCCUGAGGUUCCUCUUCUCCCAGGCCGAUCCCACUCCUCUGCUGUUCCACCUGUGCUCCGAGGUUUGCUGCCAGCAGAGCCCCCGGGAGAGCCGGGCCCUGGGCAGGGACAUCUGGAACAUCUUCCUGGACAGGGCGGCGCCCCUGCGGGUGAAGGUGCCGGAGCAGCUCCUGGCUGAGAUCGAGCUGCGGCUGCGGGGCGGGGAGGAGCUGCGGCCGGCGCUGCUGGAGGCGCAGGACUCGGUGAUCCCGGAGAUCCAGGAGCAGCUCCAGGACUACAGGACGAAGCGCACGCUGGGGCUGGGCAGCCUCUACGGGGAGAACGAGCUGCAGGAGCUGGAGCUCGGGAAUUGCGCCCGGGAGCCGCGGGAAUGCCGGGAGAGGGAGCGGGCGCUGGCCGAGAGGCAGCUGGGACACCUGGGGGACAUCCUCUCCAAGUACGAGGAGGAGCGGAGCUCCCCCAUGGCCUUCGCCCUCAGCACCUUCAUGGCCCACGCCGGGAUCCGGCCCCGGGAGCCCCGGGAAUGCCGGGAAUCCCGGGAAUGCCGCGGCCCCGAGAAGCUCCCGGACAAGGACAAGUGGCUGCCCUUCUUCCCCAAGGCCAAAAAGAGCAGCAGCUCCAGGAAGGAGAAGGAGCAGAGGCAGAACCCGAUCCUGAAAUACAUCGGGAAGCCCCGGAGCUCCUCCCAGAGCACAUUUCAUGUCCCCCUGUCCCCCGCGGAAGCAGUGAAGCCGGGGAACGUGCGGACCAUGAUCCAGCACUUUGAGAACAGCCACGGGGAGCCCCCGGAGCCGGGAGCGCAGCGCCUCUCCACCGGCAGCAUUCCCGAGGAGCUGCUGGACCCCGACAGCAGCUCGCGGGCCGAGGUGCGCCUGGGCCGCUCGGAGUCGCUGAAGGGGCGGGAGGAGCUGCGGCGCUCGCGGCGCUCGGAGCCGGUGCCGCGCUCCCGCAGCGACGUGGACAUGGACACGGGCAGCGAGACCCCCCGGCUGCACUCGGCCUCCUCCUCCGCCUCCAGCCUCUCCAACAGAUCCCUGGAAAACCCCACCCCCCCCUACACGCCAAAGAUGGGGCGCAGGAGCAUGGAUUCUCCCAGCCUGGGCUUCGGGGCCGACCCCUUCCUGCCUCACCUGCUGGAGGACGAGCAGGGCCCGGUGCCCGACCUGGAGCCGGAUCCCGACUCCCAUCCCGGCCCGAGCCCCCAGCCCGGCUCGCAGGGCUGGCAGCAGAGCCCCCCGGGCUGGCAGCAGAGCGCCCAGAGCUGGCAGCACUCGGUCAGCCGGGAGCUGCUGGCCAGCCUGUCCCAGCGGGAGGUGGAUCGCCAGGAGGUCAUCAACGAGCUGUUUGUCACCGAGCUGUCCCACCUGCGCAUCCUGCGCGUUCUGGAUUUGCUUUUCUUCCAACGCCUGCGCCGGGAGCAGCUCCUGAGCCGGGAGGAGCUGGGGCUGCUCUUCCCCAACCUGCCCGACCUCAUCGACGUGCACAGUUCCCUCUGGGACUCCAUGCGGAGGCUGCGGGAGGAGCAGGGUCCCAUCGUGGGCGAGAUCGGCGACCUCAUGCUGGCCCGGUUCGAGGGCGCUGCCAAGGAGGAAUUCCAGCGCGUGGCCGCCGCCUUCUGCUCCUCGCAGUCGAUCGCGCUGGAGCUGAUCCGCACCAAGCAGCGCAAGGAGAGCCGCUUCCAGCUCUUCAUGCAGGAGGCCGAGAGCAACCCGCAGUGCCGGCGGCUGCAGCUGAAGGACCUGCUGAUCGCCGAGAUGCAGCGCCUGACCAAGUACCCGCUGCUGCUGGAGAACGUCAUCAAGUGCACCCCGGGGGGCUCAGCAGAGCAGCAGAAGCUGCUCCGUGCCCGGGAGCAGAGCCGGGACGUGCUGCGGGCGGUGAACGAGGCCGUGCGCCGCGCCGAGAACCGGCAGCGCCUGCAGGAGCACCAGCGGCGCCUGGACACCUCGGCGCUGGAGAGGACCAGCAACCCCCUGGCCGCGGAAUUCCGGAACCUGGACCUGACCUCGCACCGGAUGAUCCACGAGGGACCCCUGGCCUGGAGAGUGGGCAAGGACAAGAGCGUGGAGCUGCACGUGCUGCUGCUGGAGGAGCUGCUGGUGCUGCUGCAGCGGCAGGACGAGCGCUGGCUGCUCAAGUGCCACAGCAAGGGCGGCCUGGGGGGCACCCCCGACACCAAGCAGAGCUUCAGCCCCGUGCUCAAGCUCAGCUCGCUGCUGGUGCGCUCCGUGGCCACAGACAAGCGCGCCCUGUUCAUCAUCUGCACCUCGGAGCUGGGCCCCCAAAUCUACGAGCUGGUGGCACUGACGUCCUCGGAGAAGAACACGUGGAUGCAGCUGCUGGAGCAGGCGGUGCAGGGGGCCACCAGGAGCCUCCCGGGGCCACCGAAACACGGCCAGGGCGAGGGCAGCGGGAACGGAGCCUCCAGCCUGCUGCUGCCGGACCCCGCCGUGUCCCCGGAGCUGGCCCGAGACACCGAGCCCGAGGAUUGUUCCUCAGGGCCCGGCCCCUGCAGGAGCUGCUGGAGGAGCCGCGGGGGGCCGGGGCUGGGGACCCCGACCCCGACCUGGGGGACCCCGACCCCGACCUGGGGGACCCCGACCCCGACCCCGACCCGGGGACCCCGACCCCGUCCUGGGAAUCCCCAAAUCCCCGGGGAGCGCCGGCGUGGCCGAGGCAGCGCUGGAGGACGUGGAGACCCUGCGGCUCCUGAUUGUCCGGAGGCUCCGGCCGGGCCGGGACCCCCAGGCCGAGGACGGAGAGACCCCCAGGGCCGGAGCCCCCGGCGACCCCCGGGGGAACGGCCCGGAAUUCCCAACCUCCAGCCCGGAAUUCCCAACGUCCGGCCCGGAAUUCCCAAAGUCCAACCGGGAAUGCCCAACGUCCAACCGGGAAUUCCCAACAUCCAACCGGGAAUUCCCAGUGUCCGGCCCGGAAUUCCCAGUGUCCAGCCAGGAAUUCCCAGUGUCCGGCCCGGAAUUCCCAGUGUCCAGCCAGGACACGGCCACGUCCGGCUGGGAUUCCGGGAUGUCCAGCUGGGAGUUCCCAGGGUCCGGCCAGGAUUCCGGGAUGUCCGGCCGGGAAUUCCCGGGGUCCGGCCAGGAGGGGCCGGAGGGGGCGGAGCCCAACGGGAUCCGAAUCAACCGGAAAGGGUGUUCAUUUGGGGUUCUGAUUUUGGGAUUUUGAUUUGGGGGUUCUGAUUCUGGGUUCUGAUUCUGGGUUCUGAUUUUGGGUUCUGAUUUUGGGUUCUGGGUUCUGAUUUGGGUCUUGGCUCUGGCUGCCGAUUUUGGGUCCCAGCUUUGGGUGCUGGGUGCUGAUUAAUUUAGGGUGCUAAUUAAUUUAGGGUGCUAAUUAAUUUUGGGUGCUGAUUUGGGGUUCUGGGUGCUGAUGAACUUUGGGUGCUGAUUUGGGGUGCUAAUUGGGGGUGCUAAUGAGCUGAUUGGGGUGCUAAUGAUCUAAUUGGGGUGCUAAUGAGCUAAUUGGGGUGCUGAUUAACUAAUCGGGGUGCUAAUGAGCUGAUUGGGGUGCUGAUUAACUAAUCGGGGUGCUAAUGAGCUGAUUGGGGUGCUAAUUACCGCAUUCCGGUGGCGGGGCCGCUCCCCCCUUCCCCUCCCCCCCCUUUUUUGGGGGGCCCAGCCCAGGAGGAGGGGCCGGAGGAGGCCACGCCCCCGAGCGGCUGCAGCCAAUCAGAGCCCGAGCUGCGGGAAGGAGGCGGAGCCAGUGCCGAGGGGAAUUUCUUCUACCUGAGCCUCCCCACGGAGCCGCCCCGGCCGGG